rnacentral:rRNA from 1 species
CCUACGGGGCGCUGCAGUGGGGGAUAUUGCACAAUGGAGGAAACUCUGAUGCAGCGACGCCGCGUGUGGGAAGACGGUCCUCUGGAUUGUAAACCACUGUCCCCAGGGACGAAGAUGACGGUACCUGGGGAGGAAGCUCCGGCUAACUACGUGCCAGCAGCCGCGGUAAUACGUAGGGAGCAAGCGUUGUCCGGAAUUACUGGGUGUAAAGGGAGCGUAGGCGGGAUGGCAAGUUGGGUGUUAAAUCUACCGGCUCAACUGGUAGUCGCACUCAAAACUGCUAUUCUUGAGUGAAGUAGAGGCAGGCGGAAUUCCUAGUGUAGCGGUGAAAUGCGUAGAUAUUAGGAGGAACACCAGUGGCGAAGGCGGCCUGCUGGGCUUUUACUGACGCUGAGGCUCGAAAGUGUGGGGAGCAAACAGGAUUAGAUACCCGUGUAGUC